UACGUAGGGUGCAAGCGUUGUCCGGAUUUAUUGGGCGUAAAGAGUUCGUAGGUGGUGGCUUAAGUCUGGUGUUAAAUACUGAAGCUCAACUUCAGCAUGGCAUUGGAAACUGGGUCGCUAGAGUCCGUCAGAGGUAACUGGAAUUCCUGGUGUAGCGGUGAAAUGCGUAGAUAUCAGGAGGAACACCGGUGGCGAAAGCGAGUUACUGGGACGGUACUGACGCUGAGGAACGAAAGCCUGGGUAGCGAAAGGG
rnacentral:rRNA from 1 species